CCGCCUCAACUAUACGAUUACGUUAAACCUUUUUAUAAAAAUUGACGUCGUAUCUAAGGAAAAGAUAACAGUCAAGUUCGGAAGAUAAAUGUCAAGUUUCAAAGGAUAAACACCAAUAACGAAAAUGGCGAACAUACACGAGAAGAGGAAGGGGAAAUAAACAAGCAAAACUGAGAAGAGACAAAACUACAUCUUCUAGAGAACUAAGGUAUUUCCGACUUGAAAUUUUUGAAAUCAGACUUGAAAUUUUCAUAGAAAAUUACUAAGAAAUAAAAAUGCCUUUGAGACUGCCAUAGAACUUUAAGGAACGUAAAACCUAGGUGGAUAGUUUAGCGACCUAAGUCUUAGGUGAUUUUUCAUGUCUCGAUAUAUCGUCCCAUAACUGUUCAGCCAGAUCUUGCAAACCGAUCUAAACUCUCUGAAAAUCGAGAAAUGAUCGCCAUGCAUAUCAAGCUCGCUUCCUAAAGAGAGAAAAAACUAGAGACAUGAACGUCGUCUUAAAACCGAUUCGUUACUAGCAAUUUUCUCGGAACCGACAUAUUCCAAGUCGUCAACGUGGAAACAACCAAAAUACUGUCCAAGCGUCGUCUUUAAAUCGUCCCGGAUUAUCGAUCAUUCCAAACCUCAGAAGAAGAAACGUACGCAACCCUUCGAAGUAUCGGUUCAACCGUUUUCUUUCGUAAAAAAAUAAAAAAAAAAUAAAAAAGGGGAGUAGAUACGUAUACUGUACUCGUAUGCUCCCAAACUUAAAAAAACUUUUGCAAAUCGUCAAGAAAACAAUCUCGUCAAAGCAAAUCGUCCCAAAUAGGCAAACGACAAUCUAAAAUUGGUCUAAACGCUACCAAAGUAUCGAGACGAUCAUGAACAUAAUCUCAAAGACUAUACAUCAUUUCUUGUCGCAAUCAUGCAUACAUAAAACCUGUCCCAAUAUCAAACUGAAACUCGACGAUUAGCCAAAGUAUUGAAGCCCUUUCCGGCUUUAGAAAGCCAGUUUCGUUUAAAAUUUCUACGAGAAAUCUUCAAUCACCAAAGCAUUUCUUUCAGUUUUCGUUGUACCAAGCGAGUCACGGAAAAGAUUCGAAAACAUUUGCGACGAAGAAAACUCGAGAAUAGAUGUAGCAUCGUGCACAUUAAAAGGAGCACUUUCCUC
rnacentral:lncRNA from 1 species